rnacentral:rRNA from 1 species
AGCGCAGGUGGUUGUAUAAGUCUGAAGUAAAAGGCAGUGGCUCAACCAUUGUGUGCUUUGGAAACUGUACAACUUGAGUGCAGAAGGGGGGAGUGGAAUUCCAUGUGUAGCGGUGAAAUGCGUAGAUAUAUGGAGGAACACCGGUGGCGAAAGCGGCUCUCUGGUCUGUAACUGACGCUGAGGCUCGAAAGUAUGGUAGCAAACA